GUUCAGCUCCGUCCUCACCUUCGCUUUAGGGUUUCCGGGUUCGCGCAUAUCUAAAAUUGGGAGCAUUCUAGCAGCUGCAUCUUAUUCCAUUCUACUACAUUGCACCGAAGGAGUUUAUGCAUUUCAGGUAUUCAUGGUAUUUGGGAUUGUUUGAAGGCCAAAUGAGUGCAAAACAAGUUCCUUUGAUAAGGAUUUAGUUGGAUUGCUUUAGAUAAUCUCAAGCAAUUAACAAAUUUUGAAAUGGCAUCAAGUAUUUAUAUUCAUUUGUUGUACUAUUUGGACGUCUUAAAACAAGAGAUCAUUGAAGAGAAUUGUGUCAACAUCAACCACCAAAUCCAUUUCCUUUUCAAACUACAAUAAAAUUGGCACAAGACUUUUAUUGUUUUUAUGUUAA